GUAACCUAAAUUCGCAAUCUGUGUUAUACAAUAUAACGCGUAAUUCGAUAUUUACUAUUUGUAGUAGUACUGAUUAUGUAUUAUUAGAAAUUACAAAUAUGGCUGUUAAAAUUAUCAAGGGAUUUUAUGUCAUUAGAUUCCUAAUUCCAACAAAUGAUCAUCCUGAUUUGAAACCAAGAAAUUGCAGGCAUAUUUUCAGAAUACAAUCAAUGCCGAAAUGAAUGCCCAGUGAUAAUUGGGUUACCACCAAAUCAAGCUUCAGAUAUAUGUUAUCUAUAAUCCUGAAUCUUAUUUAAUCAAAAAAUGCCUUAUUUUAUGCUGAUCAUUUAUUUGUGAGAUUACAUCAUAAAUGAAUAGAAUAUAGUUGUGAAUGUAUGUAUUAUUAAUUGAUUUAGUCAAAUAAUAAUAAUAAUAAUAA